rnacentral:lncRNA from 1 species
GUGCGCCCAUGUGGACAGACAGUGGGAAACAAUAUCUGUCAGGGAGGGGGCGGAACAGGGUUUUUCUCCGGCUCUCAGCGUGUCAGCCGUUCCCAUAGUUACGAACGGGGGCGGGGUUUCUAGCAGCGUAAGGACUUUGCAGGAGCCACUGGGUUCUCCCUAGAGCAUGAAGUUGUGGCUGUAACUGGCUUGUGUUUAUGAUUACAUCUGCAAUACUCAAGAGGAAAUAGAUGCUCUGCGAAAUGGAACUCGGCAAUAUUUCCUUUUGAGAUCUUGGGGGCCGGCCGCAUCGGGACUUUAAUGAAUGACUUGGAAUCUUCUAACCUCCAGGUUUUUGAUCCCCGCCUCUCCCAGGUUUCAGAAUUCCCAGACUAUUUAACAAACGUUCUAUAUGCAGCACCUGUUGGCUUGCAAACACCAUAGAAGAACUUCUGAUAAUCCCACAUAUCGCAACUUGGUUUAGG